CGCACAAAGACAUAUCCCACCUUCAUGAACACUAACAUUUUAGAAGGCAUACAUGACUAGAAAAUAAGGAAAAAAAGAAGGAUCAAGUGUACAAGAGCUAAAUGAAAUUAAAAAAAAAUAGAACAUGUUCCACCAAAGAAUCUGCGCUACACCAUCGCGAAUCGAGUUACGGAGAUUGAGGAGUGACUGAAUCAGUUUCUGCCGCGUCAACUCGUUUCCAACACCGGCCACUGUUGGUGAUUCAAAAAACAUAACAUUGAAAAUAUUCAUUGUAAGGAACCACAGCUCAUAUCAUUUUUAAGAAAAAAGCAGAACCAUCGAAAUCACCAGUAAAUCAUGUCACUCACUCUUUCGACGUUUACUUCCCACAUGCAUAGGUCAACCUAUUCAGGGAAUCUGUUUCUGUUGUCAUGUUGCUCAAAUCUCAAAUAGAGGAUUCGAGUAAAGAGACGUCAAGAUUAGCAGAGGAGGAGAACAAGCAAUUACGGCAAGAAAUUUAAGUGCGAUUACGGCAAGAAAUUGAAGAGUUAAAGAGAUAGAGAAAGAGGAAAGAAAAAGAGAUGGAAACAGAGAUGGUACGGCUU
rnacentral:lncRNA from 1 species